rnacentral:rRNA from 1 species
AACGAACGCUGGCGGCAUGCCUAACACAUGCAAGUCGAACGAGACCUUCGGGUCUAGUGGCGCACGGGUGCGUAACGCGUGGGAACCUGCCCUUAUGUUCGGAAUAACUCCCCGACAGGGGUGCUAAUACCGGAUAAUGUCUUCGGACCAAAGAUUUAUCGCCUUUGGAUGGGCCCGCGUUGGAUUAGCUAGUUGGUAGGGUAAAAGCCUACCAAGGCGACGAUCCAUAGCUGGUCUGAGAGGAUGAUCAGCCACACUGGGACUGAGACACGGCCCAGACUCCUACGGGAGGCAGCAGUGGGGAAUAUUGGACAAUGGGCGAAAGCCUGAUCCAGCAAUGCCGCGUGAGUGAUGAAGGCCUUAGGGUUGUAAAGCUCUUUUACCCGGGAUGAUAAUGACAGUACCGGGAGAAUAAGCUCCGGCUAACUCCGUG